GGUGAGAUACCCAAGUGGUUAACGGGAGCAGACUGUAAAUCUGUCGUCAUAAGACUUCGAAGGUUCGAAUCCUUCUCUCACCA
rnacentral:tRNA from 1 species